GUUAUAAAAAGCGAAGAUGUAACAUCUAUCUCGCAAUAUUGAUUGGCACUUUAGUGUGAUAAAAGGAGUUGAACCUGAAGGGGAAAGAGGCAAGAAGCCUGAGGUGAACAGACUGGGACACUGCUCAGAGUAGAAAUGUCACCCGUUGAGGCUACACCGUCAUUCUUUUUGGCCCUGGUUCCUGUCUCCAGCUUUGAGCUGCCCAGGAAGUGUCUGUCCGGAGCACUUGGGCAGCCAGAGACUCAUUCAGACUUGUUCUCGGGGGAUGUGGCACCUGCUUGAGAGACCUGGGAGAGUGAGUGGAUCUGAUCACAGAAUGUCCUGCCAAAAGCUGAGGCAGCCACACCCUUGACUCCAACUUAAGUCAUCCCCUCAGGUCCAGCAGAGUUUAGGGCCAAAGACAAUGACGUCAUGCUGGAGACUCUCGUCACCUGCCUCUGUCACUACUGGGUUCCUUAGCAAAACUAACAUGGGCCGCCUCUUCUAGAAUUACGAAGGUUGCUCCAGGACGUUUAGCCGCCAAAGCCAAGACUAAAGAGACAUGAGAACACAGGGCUUAAGACCACGGAGAAGGGACCAGAGAGGACCAUGGUUGAUUCCUGACUCUGUUCUUAGUCAGCUGAGGACUUGGAAAUUUCUAAGCCUGAGAGCUGUUAAUGGAAUUGCAUGAAAUAAGAAUAGCUGGCAAUGUGGACGAGGGCUGUGUACCAUUUCAUUUGAGCAAUUUUAUUAGUGAAGCAUUCUAUACCUUCUGAUUAGAUUUUAAAAAUUGGUAGACAGGGGCUUGGGAAAAAUAGCUCAUUUGAUAAGUGCUUGCCAUGUGAAACUAAGGACCUAGAGAUGAUUUAUAGAACUCUCUCUCUCUCUCUCUCUCUCUCUCUCUCUCUCUCUCUCUCUCCACUCCAUGCCAUCACAAACAAACACCCAAGGCCAUUUGGCUACUAAGAGGUGGGAGUGGUUAGCCAAGAAUUUGGCUUUCAGGGAUCACCAACAGAUCUGACUGCUCAGGGUAACCAUGGCUACAUGAC
rnacentral:lncRNA from 1 species